AUGCUAACAAGUUUAGUCUCAAGAUCAUAUCAGAUUUGUCACCCUGGAGCAUCAAGGCCAGAGGAAUCGAGGCAAAUAUCUAGGGUUUUGAUUUUAGCCUCUAAUUCCACCUUGGAUUUAAGCGCUUCCGCCCGCAAGUUGGCCCCCAGCCCCGCAGGAAAUGCCGCGAGUGCUAGGAGCAGUGCCUCCAGUCGUCAAUUGGCCGAAAGGAUCUAUGGCUGUCAUUACAGAGCGAUGUCCAUUUAUCGGUGCCCCCUCACUUGCCACCCUUCUGUCUUUGGCCGCUUCUGGGCCACAGAACAGCCGGGUAGUAGCUGGCCUCCUUGCCGUCGCUGA
rnacentral:rRNA from 1 species